CCCUACCACCACCUUGUCAUUCGACUCAUGGUGCAACAACUGGAACUGGAUCAUCGAUGUGACCUCGGUUGCGCAAGGGCGAAUAUGAGACAAGCAUUCCAGGAUAUACAAACACACUGUUACACAUGAUGGAUUUAUGGAGGAACACAUCAAAUAAUCCAGGAGCUGUGAAUUAUAAAUAUGGAUGACUGCAAAAAGCAAAGAAGAAGAUAAUGAAAACAAACUGAAAAAAGUGUACA
rnacentral:lncRNA from 1 species